rnacentral:misc_RNA from 1 species
UCCGGCUUAUCACCGGCAGUUUCUUUAGAGUGCCCAACUAAAUGGUAGCAACUAAAGACGAGGGUUGCGCUCGUUGCGGGACUUAACCCAACAUCUCACGACACGAGCUGACGACAGCCAUGCAGCACCUGUGUAGGCUGGUAUUGCUACCUCGUUACCCUUUCAGGCCUCUACUACCUACAUGUCAAGGCCAGGUAAGGUUCUUCGCGUUGCAUCGAAUUAAGCCACAUACUCCACCGCUUGUGCAGGCCCCCGUCAAUUCCUUUGAGUUUUAGCCUUGCGGCCGUACUCCCCAGGCGGGGCGCUUAAUGCGUUAGCUGCGGCACGGAGAACGUGGAAGGUUCCCCACACCUAGCGCCCAACGUUUACGGC